GAAGGACGAAGAUGGCGGAAAGGUAAGUAAAGUAACAUAUUUUCUAUGAAAUUUACUGAAUUGGGUGUGUGAAUUUGUUGAUUUAGCUGAGUUUUUUUUUCUUUCUAUUUUUGAAUUUGCAUUGCAGUGCUUUUAGAUUGUUUAUACAACAUGGUGGUCGAUUUCAUCAAAUUAACAAUGGGGGUGAAGCGUAUUAUGGUGGAAAAACCGAGUGUCGUAGUGGGCUAGAUACUGAUUUCUUUGGUACUUCGAUUUAGUUGAAGAAAUCAAGAAAUUAGGUUAUGAGUCAUUUGAACACAUUUGGUGUAAGGAUAUGGAUGGGAGUUCUUUUAGCUUACUUGAGGACGACGCUGAUGUCCUUGCUAUGUUAAGUCAGAUGACUCCCAUUCG
rnacentral:lncRNA from 1 species